GACGAACGCUGGCGGCGCGCCUAACACAUGCAAGUCGAACGAGCGAGAGAGAGCUUGCUUUCUUGAGCGAGUGGCGAACGGGUGAGUAACGCGUGAGGAACCUGCCUCAAAGAGGCGGACAACAGUUGGAAACGACUGCUAAUACCGCAUAAGCCCACGGUGCCGCAUGGCACAGAGGGAAAAGGAGCAAUCCGCUUUGAGAUGGCCUCGCGUCCGAUUAGCUAGUUGGUGAGGUAACGGCCCACCAAGGCGACGAUCGGUCGCCGGACUGAGGGGUUGAACGGCACAUUGGGAGUGAGAAGCGGCCCAGAAUCUUACGGGAGGCAGGAGUGGGGAAUAUUGCACAAUGGGGGAAACCCUGAUGCAGCGACGCUGGGUGGAGGAAGAAGGUCUUCGGAUUGUAAACUCCUGUUGUUGGGGAAGAUAAUGACGGUACCCAAAAAGGAAGUGACGGCUAACUACGUG
rnacentral:rRNA from 1 species